AGCGCUGCAGCAGGGUGGGGCUGGUGUUAGGGGCACCUCUCUGAAGGUUCAGCCCCUCCGUUUGUCCCAUGCUGGGUGCCUUUCCCGCUCUGAUGACUUCCCAAAGAGAAAGGGUCGAGCAGCAUUAGCCUCAAACCCAAAGGCAGGCAGUGGCCGCACGCCCAGCAUGCGGUGCCUGCCUCGGGCUCCUCUGCAGCCCAGCCGGCUCCCUGCCCCUUGCUGCUGCAGCUCCUCUCCCCCUGGAUGCCAGAAAUAGCCUGGCUGGGGAUGUACCAGGCAGUGAAUGAGACAGGCUGCCAUGCAGGCGGGCUCGCCUUGCCUCCCAGGGCCCUGGAUGUGAAGCAGCCCAUGGGAAGG